UAGAAGAAUCGCACAGGUAGGCACCUUAUGCUGAAAAUUGUGUUUAGACACCUCCAAGUGAGACUGGUUCCUGUGUGAUGUGUAAGGGCCAUAGGGCUAUGCAGAUGUACCCCCUCUGAGGAUCUGUGUCUCCCCCUCCCCAAGUUUGGCCCUGUGUUAACGGGGCUCAGUUGCUCACAGCUGAAAUGCAGUUGCUACUGGGGAGGGGGACCUGGGAAUCCUGUUACACUCUGUCACUGCCCUGUUUAUAUCUGUUCAUGACAGAAACAGCUAGAACGCCAGAAGCAGGAGAUUGCAUCUGAAUUCAAGCAAGUGCGUCAUGUUUUGAAGCAGGGAGAGCAACUCAUGCGUAACCACGUGGAAGGCACCAUACAGGACCUUAGGAAGACAAGGAAUAAAAAUACUAAGGGGCUAUUACUGCUCGAUAACCACAUUGCUGAGAUAAAUCAGACGUGCCAGCAGCCGGUGAAUGAACUCCUCAAGGACAUUGGCAGCACCUUAAGCAGGUGUGAGCAGGUGAAAGGUGAAGAGGAGGCGCCUGUUGAUUCUUUGACUGAGCUGGAGAGCAGAGUGCAGGCUGUCUCUGAAAGCCAGAAAGUUCUAUGUGAUCUGCUGAAGACUUUCAGAGUGGAAUUGGCUCCAGAAUUGGGUCCUCUUGAAAACGUCUCGUCGGAGGUUCAGAGACAAGUGAGUGGUGAAGACCCAACAGAGGAUGUUCCCGAGAACUUUAAACAAGAGGACACUUCUGUUUGCCUGCUGGACCGUGAGGUAUUGUAUUCUGUGGCCGUUCGGGGAGCUAGGUGCCAGGAAUGGGCUUUAGUGGUCGUCAGAAAGUCUAGUGCAGAUCUGCAGUAG
rnacentral:lncRNA from 1 species